rnacentral:sRNA from 1 species
CACAAAAAACAAACAAAAUCUUCCAAAAAAGGAAAAAAAAA